rnacentral:rRNA from 1 species
AGAGGGAAACAACCCAGACUACCAGCUAAGGUCCCUAAAUCUUACUUAAGUGGAAAACGAUGUGAAGUUACUUAAACAACCAGGAGGUUGGCUUAGAAGCAGCCAUCCUUUAAAGAAAGCGUAAUAGCUCACUGGUCUAGUGAUUUUGCGCGGAAAAUAUAACGGGGCUAAAGUAAGUACCGAAGCUGUAGACUUGCGCACAACUUAGAUUAUUUAAGUUUAGAAUAUGAGAAACUAAGUUAUAUGUUUAGUUAUAUUUUUACUGAUUUUUAUAGAGUAAAGAUAGAAAUAAAACUUAGUAAAAUCAGUAAAAAUAUUCUUAGACUAAAGUUAAGUAGUUUAAGUUGUGUGCAAGUGGUAGGAGAGCGUUCUAUUUGCGUCGAAGGUAUACCGGUAAGGAGUGCUGGAGCGAAUAGAAGUGAGCAUGCAGGCAUGAGUAGCGAUAAUUAAUGUGAGAAUCAUUAACGCCGUAAACCCAAGGUUUCCUACGCGAUGCUCGUCAUCGUAGGGUUAGUCGGGUCCUAAGUCGAGUCCGAAAGGGGUAGACGAUGGCAAAUUGGUUAAUAUUCCAAUACCAACAUUAGUGUGCGAUGGAAGGACGCUUAGGGCUAAGGGGGCUAGCGGAUGGAAGUGCUAGUCUAAGGUCGUAGGAGGUUAUACAGGCAAAUCCGUAUAACAAUACUCCGAGAACUGAAAGGCUUUUUGAAGUCUUCGGAUGGAUAGAAGAACCCCUGAUGCCGUCGAGCCAAGAAAAGUUUCUAAGUUUAGCUAAUGUUGCCCGUACCGUAAACCGACACAGGUGGGUGGGAUGAGUAUUCUAAGGCGCGUGGAAGAACUCUCUUUAAGGAACUCUGCAAAAUAGCACCGUAUCUUCGGUAUAAGGUGUGGUUCGCUUCGUAUUAGGAUUUACUCCGAAAGCGAAGAAACUUACAACAAAGAGUCCCUCCCGACUGUUUACCAAAAACACAGCACUCUGCUAACUCGUAAGAGGAUGUAUAGGGUGUGACGCCUGCCCGGUGCUCGAAGGUUAAUUGAUGGGGUUAGCAUUAGCGAAGCUCUUGAUCGAAGCCCGAGUAAACGGCGGCCGUAACUAUAACGGUCCUAAGGUAGCGAAAUUCCUUGUCGGUUAAAUACCGACCUGCAUGAAUGGCGUAACGAGAUGGGAGCUGUCUCAAAGAGGGAUCCAGUGAAAUUGUAGUGGAGGUGAAAAUUCCUCCUACCCGCGGCAAGACGGAAAGACCCCGUGGACCUUUACUACAGCUUGACACUGCUAUUUGGAUAAGAAUGUGCAGGAUAGGUGGGAGGCUUUGAGUAUAUGACGCCAGUUGUAUAUGAGCCAUUGUUGAGAUACCACUCUUUCUUAUUUGGGUAGCUAACCAGCUUGAGUUAUCCUCAAGUGGGACAAUGUCUGGUGGGUAGUUUGACUGGGGCGGUCGCCUCCCAAAUAAUAACGGAGGCUUACAAAGGUUGGCUCAGAACGGUUGGAAAUCGUUCGUAGAGUAUAAAGGUAUAAGCCAGCUUAACUGCAAGACAUACAAGUCAAGCAGAGACGAAAGUCGGUCUUAGUGAUCCGGUGGUUCUGUGUGGAAGGGCCAUCGCUCAAAGGAUAAAAGGUACCCCGGGGAUAACAGGCUGAUCUCCCCCAAGAGCUCACAUCGACGGGGAGGUUUGGCACCUCGAUGUCGGCUCAUCGCAUCCUGGGGCUGGAGCAGGUCCCAAGGGUAUGGCUGUUCGCCAUUUAAAGCGGUACGCGAGCUGGGUUCAGAACGUCGUGAGACAGUUCGGUCCCUAUCUGCCGUGGGCGUAAGAAGAUUGAAGAGAUUUGACCCUAGUACGAGAGGACCGGGUUGAACAAACCACUGGUGUAGCUGUUGUUCUGCCAAGAGCAUCGCAGCGUAGCUAAGUUUGGAAAGGAUAAACGCUGAAAGCAUCUAAGCGUGAAGCCAACUCUAAGAUGAAUCUUCUCUAAGCUCUCUAGAAGACUACUAGUUUGAUAGGCUGGGUGUGUAAUGGAUGAAAGUCCUUUAGCUGACCAGUACUAAUAGAGCGUUUGGCUUAUCUUUAAUAAAGCAU